UGGGGAAUAUUGCACAAUGGGCGAAAGCCUGAUGCAGCGACGCCGCGUGAAGGAUGAAGGUCUUCGGAUUGUAAACUUCUAUCAGCAGGGAAGAAAGGGCCUAUGGCCUAUGACGGUACCUGACUAAGAAGCCCCGGCUAACUACGUGCCAGCAGCCGCGGUAAUACGUAGGGGGCAAGCGUUAUCCGGAUUUACUGGGUGUAAAGGGUGCGUAGGUGGCUAUGCAAGUUUGAUGUGAAACCUUAAGGCUUAACCUUAAGCAUGCAUCAAAAACUGCAAAGCUAGAGUGCAGGAGAGGAAAGUGGAAUUCCUAGUGUAGCGGUGAAAUGCGUAGAUAUUAGGAGGAACACCAGUAGCGAAGGCGGCUUUCUGGACUGUAACUGACACUGAGGCACGAAAGCGUGGGGAGCAAACAGG
rnacentral:rRNA from 3 species